AGAGUUUGAUCCUGGCUCAGAAACGAACGCUGGCGGCGUGCUUAACACAUGCAAGUCGAACGCGAAAAGUUUUCUUCGGAAGACGAGUAGAGUGGCGCACGGGUGAGUAACGCGUAAGUAAUCUACCCCGGCAUCUGGAAUAACUCACCGAAAGGUGUGCUAAUACCGGAUACGUUGGUAACAAGAAAGGUGGCCUCUGCAUAUGCUACCGUGCUGGGAUGAGCUUGCGUACCAUUAGCUAGUUGGUAGGGUAAAGGCCUACCAAGGCGACGAUGGUUAGCGGGGUCUGAGGGAGGUAGUAGUACGUCCGACCACACGACGUACGUGGACACGGACCAGACUCCUACGGGAGGCAGCAGUGAGGAAUAUUGCGCAAUGGGGGCAACCCUGACGCAGCGACGCCGCGUGGAUGAUGAAGGCCUUCGGGUCGUAAAAUCCUGUCAGAUGGAAAGAAGUGCAUAGUGGGUUAAUACCGCUAUGUUUGACGGUACCAUCGAAGGAAGCACCGGCUAACUCCGUGCCAGCCGCCGCGGUAAUA
rnacentral:rRNA from 1 species